rnacentral:rRNA from 1 species
UAAGGAAUAUUGGUCAAUGGACGCAAGUCUGAACCAGCCAUGCCGCGUGGAGGAUUAAGGCCCUCUGGGUUGUAAACUCCUUUUAUCUGGGAAGAAAUGUACUUUUUCUUGAGUACUUGACGGUACCAGAGGAAUAAGCACCGGCUAACUCCGUGCCAGCAGCCGCGGUAAUACGGAGGGUGCAAGCGUUAUCCGGAUUCACUGGGUUUAAAGGGUGCGUAGGUGGGCAGGUAAGUCAGUGGUGAAAUCUCCGGGCUUAACCCGGAAACUGCCGUUGAUACUAUUUGUCUUGAAUAUUGCGGAGGUCAGCGGAAUAUGUCAUGUAGCGGUGAAAUGCUUAGAUAUGACAUAGAACACCAAUUGCUAAGGCAGCUUACUACACAAUCAUUGACGCUGAGGCACGAAAGCGUGGGGAUCAAACA